AUGUCGGUGACGGGGACAUCCGUGGCGGCGGCGGCGACCAUGCUGGCCGCGGCGGCCGCCAUCUUCAUCACCUUCGUCGUCUGCUUCUACCUCUUCCUCUGCGCCAAGCGCUACCGGGGCGCCGCGCCCGCAAUCGGCGGCGGCGGGGGCCGGGGGCCGCGGUUCGUCUUCGGGGGGCCCUGCCACGGGCGGGGCCUGGACGAGACGGCCAUCGUGGCGCUGCCGCGCAGGGAGGUCGCCCAGGGGGACCCCGCGGCCGACUGCGCCGUCUGCAUCACGGAGCUCGCCGCCGGGGAGGCCGCGCGCCUGCUGCCGCGGUGCGGCCACUCGUUCCACGUCGAGUGCGUCGACAUGUGGCUCCGCUCGCACUCCACCUGCCCGGUCUGCCGGUGCGCGGUCGCCGACGAGGCGCCCACCGUGCAGCCCCCCGAGGCCGAUCCUGAGUCGCCCAUCUUCCCCACCAACGUGCUCUUCUUCGGCUCCCAGGACGCCGUGGCAACCGGCGGCACGCCGCGGCAGCCGGUGCCGCCGCAGCCUUCCCAGGGCCCGAUCGCCGGCGUCGCGGCCGUGGUCGAGGCGGCCAGAGUGGCGGCCCUCCGGCGGCUGCUCGGCUGCGGCGGCGGGACGUCCCCGCCCCCGCCACCACCGCCGCCGCAGGCAGGCCGCGACCUGGAGAUGGGCCCCGCGCAGGCCGGCGGCGAGAGCAGCACGCCGCGGCCGGCGAAACCGCAGCCAGGUUCUUGA
rnacentral:rRNA from 1 species